AAUGAACGUUGGCGGCGUGGAUUAGGCAUGCAAGUCGUGCGCGAAACGUAGCAAUACGUGGAGAGCGGCGAAAGGGAGAGUAAAACAUGGUUAGCUACCCUCGGGACUGGGAUAGCGGCGGGAAACUGCCGGUAAUACCAGAUGACGUCUUCGGACCAAACGUGUAAACCGGCCCGAGGAGGCGACCGUGUCCUAUCAGCUAGUUGGCGGUGUAAUGGACCACCAAGGCUAAGACGGGUAUGGGGCGUGAGAGCGUGCCCCCACUCACUGGGACUGAGACACUGCCCAGACACCUACGGGUGGCUGCAGUCGAGAAUCUUCGGCAAUGGGCGCAAGCCUGACCGAGCGACGCCGCGUGCGGGAUGAAGGCCUUCGGGUUGUAAACCGCUGUCGUAGGGGAGGAAGGUCUGGUGUAGAGCCAGGCUUGACCGAUCCUAGGAGGAAGGGCCGGCUAAUCUCGUGCCAGCCGCCGCGGUAACAC
rnacentral:rRNA from 1 species